CCUACGGGUGGCAGCAGUGAGGAAUAUUGGUCAAUGGACGAGAGUCUGAACCAGCCAAGUAGCGUGAAGGAUGACUGCCCUAUGGGUUGUAAACUUCUUUUAUAAAGGAAUAAAACGAGGCACGUGUGCCUUUUUGCAAGUACUUUAUGAAUAAGAAUCGGCUAACUCCGUGCCAGCAGCCGCGGUAAUACGGAGCAUCCGAGCGUUAUCCGGAUUUAUUGGGUUUAAAGGGAGCGUAGAUGGGUUGUUAAGUCAGUUGUGAAAGUUUGCGGCUCAACCGUAAAAUUGCAAUUGAUACUGGCAGUCUUGAGUACAGUUGAGGUAGGCGGAAUUCGUGGUGUAGCGGUGAAAUGCUUAGAUAUCACGAAGAACCCUGAUUGCGAAGGCAGCUUACUAAACUGUGACUGACAUUGAUGCUCGAAAGUGUGGGGAGCAAACAGGAUUAGAUACCCCUGUAGUC
rnacentral:rRNA from 1 species